GUGCCAGCAGCCGCGGUAAUUCCAGCUCCAAUAGCGUAUAUUAAAGUUGUUGUGGUUAAAAAGCUCGUAGUUGAACCUUGGGCCUGGCUGGCCGGUCCGCCUCACCGCGUGCACUGGUCCGGCCGGGCCUUUCCCUCUGUGGAACCCCAUACCCUUCACUGGGCGUGGCGGGGAAACAGGACAUUUACUUUGAAAAAAUUAGAGUGCUCCAGGCAGGCCUAUGCUCGAAUACAUUAGCAUGGAAUAAUAAAAUAGGACGCGCGGUUCUAUUUUGUUGGUUUAUAGGACCGCCGUAAUGAUUAAUAGGGACAGUCGGGGGCAUCAGUAUUCAACUGUCAGAGGUGAAAUUCUUGGAUCAGUUGAAGACUAACUACUGCGAAAGCAUUUGCCAAGGAUGUUUUCAUUAAUCAGGAACGAAAGUUAGGGGAUCGAAGACGAUCAGAUACCGUCGUAGUCUUAACCAUAAACUAUGCCGACUAGGGAUCGGACGGUGUUAUUCAUGACCCGUUCGGCACCUUACGAGAAAUCAAAGUGCUUGGGCUCCAGGGGGAGUAUGGUCGCAAGGCUGAAACUUAAAGAAAUUGACGGAAGGGCACCACCAGGGGUGGAGCCUGCGGCUUAAUUUGACUCAACACGGGGAAACUCACCAGGUCCAGACACAAUAAGGAUUGACAGAUUGAGAGCUCUUUUCUUGAUUUUGUGGGUGGUGUGCAUGGCCGUUCUUAGUUGGUGGGGGUGACUUGUCUGCUUAAUUGCGAUACGAACGAGACCUUAACCUGCUAAAUAGCCCGCAUUGCUCCGGCAGUGCGCUGGCU
rnacentral:rRNA from 1 species